UCAGGACCAAGCACUGGUCUGGGCUGUUGGCCUGAAAGGAUCUGACUAUAGCGUGGAGCAGCAAUAAUUCUGCUCGCCAUGCAAAACGGCCUUCGAAAUUGACCAAAGGAGCUAAAAUGUUACUCAGGCCUGUUUGCUGGCAGUGUGCUGAUUUUGGCCCAAAGCAGAAACUGUUCUGAACACUUUACAAAACGGCAUUCAGAGCCAACCACUACUCAGAUCUAUUGUCCGUGAAGAAUCUGAUUUCAGCCCACAGCAGGAAGCAUUCCGGUCACCAGGCAAGAUUGUGUUCAGACUCGACAACAGGAAGUAGGAUGUGUACUCAAGCCUGCUGGCUGGAGGGCGACUAUAUUGGUCCAGGGCAGCAGGUAUUCUGCUCGCUAACAAAACAGCCUUCAUGGCCAAGUACUACUCAGGCCUGGUGACGAGAAAGGAGCUGAAUUUGGCGCAGAGUAGCAACCAUUCUGCUCACUAGAUAAAACAGUCUUCAAACUCGAGCGCAAGAGAUGGGACUGCCUACUUGGCGGCGAGGAGCAUUUUGGUCCAGAACAGCAACUACCCUUCUAGCUAGACAAAUUGGCCUUCGGUGUCUAGUACUACUCAGAAAUGUUGGCCGGGAAGGAGCUAAUUUUACCUUGGAGAAAUCAGCAUUCCGCACACCAUGCAGAACGGCCUUCAGCCUCGAGAACAAGGAGAAUGGUGUGCUCGGUUGUCUUGGACAGGCCUAAUGUCCCCUGUGACGGGUCAGCCAGCAGCGACAAAGUCAUUAGUAUCGGGGUGGACACCCACCUUCCAGGCAAUGGGGC